CCUACGGGAGGCAGCAGUGGGGAAUAUUGCACAAUGGGCGCAAGCCUGAUGCAGCCAUGCCGCGUGUAUGAAGAAGGCCUUCGGGUUGUAAAGUACUUUCAGCGGGGAGGAAGGUGUUGUGGUUAAUAACCGCAGCAAUUGACGUUACCCGCAGAAGAAGCACCGGCUAACUCCGUGCCAGCAGCCGCGGUAAUACGGAGGGUGCAAGCGUUAAUCGGAAUUACUGGGCGUAAAGCGCACGCAGGCGGUCUG
rnacentral:rRNA from 1 species